AGUCAGUUUAGAUCUCCUCAAUCUGUAUGUUGUUAACGAGAUAUCAACCAAAAAGGACAAUGCUGAGAGCGCGAGGAAACCAGUUCACAUUAAUAUGACUGGAGGCAUAAAAAUACCUGUUAGAAGACACAACAUAGGACUUCCCAUGUCACCACCACGUACACAAUAUACGUCAAACUUGGAUGACAUCCAGAACAGGCUACAAAAACGAGUAUUGGACAGCAGAAGGCAGCAUCUUUCAGAGAAAGUAAAAUACCAGCAUAAUGCCAGACUAUAUGAAUUUUGCCAGCAAAAAUCCAGUGAUAAUCACCAGUAAAGAACCAGAACGUAUCAAAAGAAUAAAUGAGCCAUUUUUUGGUGUUGUGAAAGAAACUGCAGAACUGAUACCUUCCCAAGAUGAACAUGAUUGUUCCUUUCUGGCAAUGUUUGAAGAUGAGAGCCAACCAGUCUAUAAUAAUCUUGCCACAAGGCAUUUUAAUCUUUUUGUUAACCAAAGCAGUACUGCCAAUUUUUUCGUUGAUCCUGAUGACAGAAAUCAAAUGACCAACAGAAGUUUUACUUAUGAUACUAGAGAGGUUCAUCCUGCAGUUAGUGCAAAGAGACGUUUUGUAGACAGAUACCUUAAAGGCAUUUUCACAGCUCCGGAACAGGUUUUAUUUAAAAGUAACAAUGCCUYAAGUCCAAGCUACAAGGAAAACGGAGAAUCUCUUAAAACCUACCUGCAGGACUAUCACAAGAGACAGUACUACUUUGUGCCCUCUGAAAAUAAAGAAAACCCUGCAAAACUUGAAAAAAAUGAGGCAUUUACUUAUCACCAUGAUCAGCAGAUGGUUAACUUAAAGGAAAAUGUGCAGAACCACUCGAGAACAAAGAGUGACAACUCAGACGUGAAAGAAUCAGCUUGGAGACAGGACCAGCUCUUUGGAUUUGAAGAGUGUGAAGAGGAAGACACAGCUGACAAGAAGGAAUAUCUCAAUGAACAGUUCUUCCAGACAGACGAUGCCAAUCUAACCUCAGCCUCAGCAAGCACAGAGCCCCCCAAGACCUCUCAGACUGGAACGGUGCCUCUCCAUCCCAGCAGGCGUUUGACUAUGGAAGAAUCCAACCAUCUUCGACAGAAAGACCCUAUUUCACCACCCAUAGAGGAGGAAAAUAAAGACCACACUGCUCCGCCUGAGAGCAGCUCACUACAGCAAGCCCUGAAAAGAGAGCAGCUCACUCACAGUACCAGGUGCGAUGUUUGCUCACAGACCGAGAGCUCUGUUACAGAAGUAAGAAAAGUGGAUGUUGCCACCCAGUGUGGCACCRUGCAGCUGUGCAGCCGUGGGAGCUCCUGCCCCUGUGCCCGCAGCGCCAAGGGGCUCCCUCCUCUCAGUACCGCAGGCGCUGCUGGAGGGCACAAAAUGCCAGCACAUGCAGCGCGCCGGCCUGCRGGCACAGGCAGUGCGGCACGAAUAGCAGCAUUUGCUUCUGAAGCUGAGUAUCUCAGCUUGGCUUACAGUACGACCCUAAAGGUUCUGAACUACGUUCAUAUAAUGAAGGAGAGAGAAAAAUAGWGACCAAUUAGAGUGGCAUAUAAAGUGUAUAGAGGGGAUACUUUAAAGUUUUGUCCUGUUCUUAGUGUGUUUCAUCUAGUUGGCAUAUUUGGAUUUUUUUCAGUUUGGGUAGACAAAGUAUUUUUGGUUGUUUGCUUACAAAUUAUUAUUAACUAUGUAUCUCUAUCUAGCUACUACUAUACCCAUGGGUUACUAUAGAUGUCUAACUGCUAACAUAGGAUUUUACAACAGCUUAGUGAAAAUAAAUGUUAGGAAUUAAAAUUGGCUUCCCA
rnacentral:lncRNA from 1 species